GCGUUGACCCGCGCAGGCCUAGGCGGUUGCGAACACCCGCCUCCUAGUCCCCACGCGCCGACUUCCGGUCUUUUUCUGCAUCUAUUGGUCAACCUCUGUAACCACCGCGUCACGACCUUAAAGUGGAUUAGUUGGCCUUGUGGUCAGUCAUAGUGACCCCUGACAAGGGGAGGCUUCAUUGGCGCCAUAAAGUGUCGAUCACUUUGUCACAGGACGUCGCGUGGUACAAUUGGCAGGCAAUAGUACCAUUCAUCCCGCCCCCGUCUGAGGUGACGGGAAAGGGUUGGGGAAUUUCCACUUCUGAUUAAAAUGACGGCUGAGGUGACGACCCGCCAGAAUUAGUGAGAUUUGGAGUAGAAUUCACCCUGAGCUUGGUGAGGCUUAUACGUUAAGGAUGCAAGAGGCACAGAGGCUACCAAGCUCCCACCUGUCGCUCUCCGCCAGACGCCGAGACUGCGGCCGGAGAGUUGCUGCACGGGGAUUGGAGGAAUGAAGCAGUCAGUCUCGUCUAGGCCCCACCUUCCUCGCAGGCUCUGGUUGGAGGAGCGGAGCGUCAGUCACUAGAGCGGUCGCCACCUCUGGGACAGGAAUUUGUUGUCAACUCCUGGACAGCUCCUACAGUGGAAUUCAGCACCAGGAAAAGAGGAAGCUGCGGGGUUCCCCCAGGACACAAGCUGUGCUCUCUCUCCGAAGACUGUCCAUAUGGGCCAGGGAGAUGACUGUGGCUGAGACAUACCAGGGCAGCCCAAGCACUGAUGUGAGCAGCAGCAGCACAGCCACACAGAAGAGGUCCAGGUGGAAGCCAGCUCCCUUCUGCAGGUAGUGGUGGAGCAUCGAGGAUGAAACUAAGCCAGAUCUGGGCUCUCUGUCCUCUGGAGUGGGAGAGGGAGGGCCUGGACCCCACCCUGGAGUUUCUGUACCUUGGUCUAGGGGCCUCUGGUCCUACCCAGCAGGUCUUACCCGCAGUUUAUAUUCGGCACGGUUGAGGAUGACCGCUGUGAUCUGCUGGUCCAUGAAGAUGAGGAUAGACAGCAGCAGAGCAGGGAGGGCGGCUGCCACACUCAGCCACCAGGGGUUGGCUCCAAAAGGUGACACCAGCCAUCCACGCCCAGGGAGUGUGGGCUGGGAGAGGGCAUUCCGUGGACAAGUUAGAGAGGGUCUCCCAAGAGCACCUCACCUGCACACCCCGGCUUUGGCAUUCCUCCAUAACCCCCAACCCCCUUACCCCAGUUCCAAGACCCUGGGUGGUAGGUGGGAGCAGUACGUGUGCAUGUACAACUGGUUGAAAGCAUUCCAGUGCCUUAAAAGAGGGCAGAAGAAGGGGAACCAGCCUGGGAGUUGGGCUGGAGCCAGGGGCUCUGGAUUUUGGUUCUCAGGUGCCCUCCCUCCCUGCAAGAGGAGGAGAUGGUGGGUGAGGCCUGCCCACAUUUCUUGAUGUACAGAGCCCUCCUCCCUAGGCACCCCCCGCCCCCUACAACCAGGGUGGGGCGACUCAGGCUCAAACCUGCCUUGAUCUGGGGCCAGGGCAGGGCUGGGUGUGUCUGCGUCUGCUCUGAUUAUAAGCGUCUGUGUCGGGGAGGGGACCCCAGUUGCCAUCUCAGAUUCUGAGCCCCUGAGGCUACCCCAGGUGGAGUCUCCCUGCUCUCCUGUCCUGGGGGAAGCUGGAGAGGAGGUCUCCAAAUGCACAGGCAAAGUCUAGAUGCUAAGUCCGUGCUAAGCCUUGUCCUGUGCGCUGCCGUGCCCUUGGGAGGAAGCUCCAGCUUUAGCAGAUCAGAGCCGGCAAACAGGGGUGCAAAGAAGACAGUGCGGAGUAGUAGGGUGGGUAGGGCCAACCUAUGACAACAAUAAGUAACAUUUUUUGAGAUCUUGGUAUGUGCCAGAUGAGUGACUUACACUCAUCUUCUGUGAACCUCAGAACAACUUACAGAGUAGCAGCUAUUGUUAUUUAUUAUUUCCAUUUUACUGGUAAAUAAAUUGAGGCUCAUUGAUGAGAAAUGUGGGUUGGCUUGCCUAAGGUCACACAGCUAGGAAGUGGCAGAACUGGAUCUCGAGCCCAGGGCUGGCUGACUAGAACCCAACCUCUUAACCCCUAAUUUAUAAUAAUAACUCCCAUGUUUUCUGUACCCACUGUGUUGGCAGCAACACCUCAUUAAUCCUCACAACAACUCUGUGAGGUCAUUAUUAUUACUAUUUGUAUUUUAUGAGCAAGGAAAUGGAAGCUCAGAGGAAGAAAAGCAUGGUAUCCAUUCAUCUUCCUCCUCCAAAGUCCUGUCUGCUGGCCCUGCUCUCCCCUCUGUUCUACACUCCCAGCUCUCACCUUGAACUCGCUGGGCACCAUGAGCUUUGGUGUGGCUAGACCCAGGAAGGAAUCGAGGCUACAGCCCAGCAGCAUGGCCAGGACUGAGGAGAAGUCACCGAGCACUUUGCGCACCUGGCCACACAGUGGACACUUGGUCAGGUUCAGGCCUCCCAGCCCCCUCCCUCUUUACCCUUUCCCAUUCACAGACAGGGCCCAAGGCCAAGAGGCAGUACUCUCCCACAGACAGAGGUAACACUCACCACAGAGGGGAAGAAGCGGCUUGUCUUUACAUGCUUGAGGGCCGUGGCUAUGAGGAAAGAAGUAAGGAAGAGGAGGACAGAGAAGAAGGCGAUGUCUGGGACUAUAUGACAGCCGGGACCACGAGGGUGGCCUCCCCGUCGGGCACACUCAGGUGGGGGCAGCAAGGAGGCAUUGACCAGGCCUAGGUCCUGUAUGGAAGGGUGUUCAGGUAUGGGGUUAUGGGUGGCAGAAUAAACAUUGACUGACACUCACUGAGACACCAAGGGCCCAGGAUAGGAGGUCUCCAGCCACAGCAAAUGUCUGGGCCUCUGUGAACUGUAAGGGUUUCCCUAGCCUGUGGGGAGGGAAAAGCCAGGAACCACUGACUUCUUUGGCUUCCACCAUGUCUUUCCCAGGACUCUCCCAGGAACUGGCCCUCACCAUGCUUGAGAUGUCACCUCUGUCUUUUGGUUCUGUCUUCUUCCACUGAGACUCAUUUCCUGGGAAGCAGAGAACAAUUUGGGUAUAUGUGCCUCCUCUGGAAACCUUCUCCAGCCCCUCAGGAGCCUGAUCUCAUGGAUCCAACUGAACCAGAAAGUUCUUAGUUCUGACUCAUCUGUCUUCUGACCCUAAAUGCUGUGCUCCUCAGGACAUCUCCCAGUCCCUACCAAUUCCUUACGUCUCUGUAUCCCUGGUGCCCGGCAUAGGACCAGCCAGAGCAGAUGCCUAGCAAAUGUUUGCUUAAAAGAUGAGCACACCAAUCUGUGGGUUUCUAUCAGGACCAGAACUGGUUUUGCUCAUGCCUAACACAGAGUCUGGCGCUCUUGAGAAGAUAUUUCUUCCCCAUUCCUGCUGCUUCCUUGUGCAGGGGUAUGUGCAAGUGUAAAACUCUGAGCUGCUCUCCCCCUCGGUCAGUCACUCAGACUAGGGGAAGAGCCGCAAUUUAUUUGAUUGGUGAAUUUGAGAGAAGGAAUGGAGCAUGCCUCUCCCUGUCCCUUCCUCUCCCCACUCUUGGGAAUAAGCUGCCUGCCCUGUGCAUGCAACUUAGCUCUGCCCUUCUGUGGCAAGACAGUCCCUGUCCAGGGCAGCCAUGACUGGGUGGGUAAAUCUAUUUAAUUUUGGUUUCAUUGUUAGGAAGCCCGUUUCCCCAUAGAUAUAAGCAUGUUCUUCUAUCAGCACUGUCAGAAAUAAAGAUGAUAUUGGGGCACCUG